rnacentral:tRNA from 2 species
GUAAAUAUAGUUUAACAAAAACUUUAGAUUGUGAGUCUAACAAUAGAAAAUUAUAAUUCUUAUUUACC